GAUCACAUUAGUAGCCUCAUAUAGCAUAUGCAGUGUGGUCAUACGCAUUUGCAGCUUCAUAUGCAGUCUCAUGCACCGUAUUUUAAAACACUGACUCACAACAAGUUUGCACCAAAGAUCAAAACCAAAACCAUAUCUUUGUAAGCAUUUUACUUUUUUACAUGAAGAUGCAACAUGAUGUAUACUUGUUGCAUUUGCAGACAAUUAGUGUUGACUGAUGAAGAACAAACUAGAUAAAAUGCUAAAUUGGUUUAUGGAAGAAAGUUUUAGAAGAUAAAGGCUUAAAAAUUAGCAAAACAAAGAGAGAACUUAGAACGUAAUUUUAACAAAAUGAAAAUAAAUAUAAGGACCCAUUUGAGAUUCAAUGGACAAUAUAUGCCACAAGGUAAUUGUUUUGUUAUUUAGGAUCUAUGGUGCAAAAUGAUUGAAAGAGAGAUGCAGAUGUAUGUAAUAGAACUCAAGUUUCUUGGAUGAAAUGAAGAGGUGCUUCUCGAUGCCUAUCUAAGACUUAAACAGAAACUUUAUAGAACAAUAUGCAAUGUCGUAUGGCUCAAAAU
rnacentral:lncRNA from 1 species